rnacentral:other from 1 species
CUUAACCUGAGAUGCACGACAACUCCUGUUAGUUUUGAACCUACAUUUACUUUAAACGGGAUUCCUAUAUUGCCAAGUGGCUGUCAAGCCCUCACUCAUUUGAGGAUUGGAAGGGAAGGCAAAAGCUUUGGUUGCGGAUUUACCCACCUGGCGAGAGCUAGGAGUCAAAAGGCAGGAACCGGCAUCUUGGGGGAAUA